rnacentral:rRNA from 1 species
GAUGAACGCUGGCGGCGUGCCUAAUACAUGCAAGUCGAGCGAACAGACGAGGAGCUUUCUCCUCUGACGUUAGCGGCGGACGGGUGAGUAACACGUGGAUAACAUACCUAUCAGACUGGGAUAACUUCGGGAAACCGGAGCUAAUACCGGAUAAUAUAUUGAACCGCAUGGUGCAAUAGUGAAAGACGGUUUUGCUGUCACUUAUAGAUGGAUCCGCGCCGCAUUAGCUAGUUGGUAAGGUAACGGCUUACCAAGGCAACGAUGCGUAGCCGACCUGAGAGGGGGGUCGGCGACAAUGGAAGGGAGAAACGGCCGAGACGCCUACGGGGGGACGCAGCAGGGAAUCAUACGGAAUGGGGGAAAGCCGGACGGAGCAACGCCGCGGGAGGGAUGAUGGUGUCCGGAUCGUAGAACUCUGUUAUUGGGGAAGAACAAAGGUUGAAGUAACUGUGCACGUCUUGACGGUACCUAGACAGAAAGCCACGGCUAACUACGUG